rnacentral:snRNA from 1 species
GUGCUCUCUUUGGCAGCACAUAUACUAAAA